rnacentral:rRNA from 1 species
AAGGCUUGACAUACACCGGAAUCACUCAGAGAUGGGUGCGUCUUCGGACUGGUGUACAGGUGGUGCAUGGUUGUCGUCAGCUCGUGUCGUGAGAUGUUGGGUUAAGUCCCGCAACGAGCGCAACCCUCGUUCUAUGUUGCCAGCACGUGAUGGUGGGGACUCAUAGGAGACUGCCGGGGUCAACUCGGAGGAAGGUGGGGAUGACGUCAAAUCAUCAUGCCCCUUAUGUUCG